rnacentral:rRNA from 1 species
UACGGGGGGGGCAAGCGUUGUUCGGAAUUACUGGGCGUAAAGGGCUCGUAGGCGGCCAACUAAGUCAGACGUGAAAUCCCUAGGCUCAACCUAGGAACUGCGUCUGAUACUGGAUGGCUUGAAUCCGGGAGAGGGAUGCAGAAUUCCAGGUGUAGCGGUGAAAUGCGUAGAUAUCUGGAGGAAUACCGGUGGCGAAGGCGGCAUCCUGGACCGGCAUUGACGCUGAGGAGCGAAAGCUAGGGGAGCAACAGGG